AAAAGCGGAGGAAAAGAAACCAACAGGGAUUGCCUCAGUAGCGGCGAGUGAAGCGGCAAAAGCUCAAAUUUGAAAUCUGGCGUCUUUGGCGUCCGAGUUGUAAUUUGAAGAAGGUAUCUUUGGGCCCGGCUCUUGUCUAUGUUCCUUGGAACAGGACGUCACAGAGGGUGAGAAUCCCGUGCGAUGAGAUGACCCGGGUCUGUGUAAAGUUCCUUCGACGAGUCGAGUUGUUUGGGAAUGCAGCUCUAAGUGGGUGGUAAAUUCCAUCUAAAGCUAAAUAUUGGCGAGAGACCGAUAGCGAACAAGUACAGUGAUGGAAAGAUGAAAAGAACUUUGAAAAGAGAGUGAAAAAGUACGUGAAAUUGUUGAAAGGGAAGGGCUUGAGAUCAGACUUGGUAUUUUGCAUGCUGCUCUCUCGGGGGCGGCCGCUGCGGUUUACCGGGCCAGCAUCGGUUUGGAGCGGCAGGAUAAUGGCGGAGGAAUGUGGCACGGCUUUUGCUUUUUUAUAGCCUCUGACGAUACUGCCAGCCUAGACU
rnacentral:rRNA from 1 species